GGAGCGGCCGCAUGAUCGGGCGACCGAAUACAUCAUAGGGAGUAAUUCGUCCCUUUACUUUUACAUUUAUGCAUUUAAUUUAAUUUAGCAUCUUGCAUAUAGAAAUAGAUUUAUUUUUACGUCCGUCCCGGGACAUGCAUGCAUUAAUAUUGUUUCUAUAUUUUAUACUAACUUAUUUUUAAGUACUUUUUUUUUUGUAGGUAAGGCUUAUGUGGAGACGAGGGCAUCCGCAAAGAUCAUUCGAUCUCGAUUUCAAAAUCCAAGGUAAGUGAUUUUAAUAUUAUUUUGUUGUUUCCUAUACAUAUAUACUAAUAUCUAUUUUAAAUCUUUUUAGAUGCAUACGAGAGGGAGCGGCCGCAUGAUAGGACGACCGAAUACAUCAUAGGGAGCAAUUCGUCCCUUUCCUUUUACAUUUAUGCAUUUAAUUUAAUUUCGCAUCUUGCAUAUAGAAAUAGAUUUACUUUUACGUCAGUCCCGGGACAUGCAUGCAUUAAUUUUGUUUCUAUAUUUUAUACUAACUUAUUUUUAAGUGCUUUUUUUUUGUAGGUAAAGCUUAUGUGGAGACGAGGGCAUCCGCAAAGAUCCUUCGAUCUCGAUUUCAAAUCCAAGGUAAGUGAUUUUAAUAUUAUUUUGUUGUUUCCUAUACAUAUAUACUAAUAUCUAUUUUAAAUCUUUUUAGAUGCAUACGAGAGGAAGCGGCCGCCUCAACGGACCAUCAUAGGGAGCAAUUCAUCCCUUUCUUUUACAUUUAUGCAUUUAAUUUAAUUUCGCAUCUUGCAUAUAGAAAUAGAUUUAUUUUUACGUCAGUCCCGGGACAUGCAUGCAUUAAUUUUGUUUCUAUAUUUUAUACUAACUUAUUUUUAAGUGCUUUUUUUUUGUAGGUAAAGCUUAUGUGGAGACGAGGGCAUCCGCAAAGAUCCUUCGAUCUCGAUUUCAAAUCCAAGGUAAGUGAUUUUAAUAUUAUUUUGUUGUUUCCUAUACGUAUAUACUAAUAUCUAUUUUAAAUCUUUUUAGAUGCAUACGAGAGGGAGCGGCCGCAUGAUAGGACGACCGAAUACAUCAUAGGGAUCAAUUCGUCC